GCAGGACGGUGGUCAUGG
rnacentral:snRNA from 1 species